GGUGAGAUGGCCGAGUUGGUCCAAGGCGCCAGAUUAAGGUUCUUCAUUCUGGUCCGUUUCGACGGGCGUGAGUUCGAAUCUCACUCUCAUCA